rnacentral:miRNA from 1 species
AGGCAAGAUGUUGGCAUAGCAG